rnacentral:rRNA from 1 species
GACGAACGCUGGCGGCGGGUCUAACACAUGCAAGUCGAGGGACGAACCAAGUGCUUGCACUUGGGGAAACCGGCGAACGGGUGAGUAACACGUGAGGAACCUGCCCUGUACACCGGGAUAACUACGGGAAACCGUGGCUAAUACCGGAUGCUCCACCGAGAUCGCAUGAUCGUGGUGGGAAAGCUCAGGCGGUACAGGAGGGCCUCGCGGCGUAUCAGCUAGUUGGUGGGGUAAUGGCCCACCAAGGCUACGACGCGUAGCUGGAGUGAGAGCUCGAACAGCCACACUGGGACUGAGACACGGCCCAGACUCCUACGGGAGGCAGCAGUGGAGAAUCUUGCGCAAUGGGCGAAAGCCUGACGCAGCCACGCCGCGUGCGGGAAGAAGGCCUUCGGGUCGUAAACCGCUUUCAGGAGGGAAGAAGCGAAAGUGACAGUACCUCCAGAAGAAGGCCCGGCUAACUACGUACCAGCAGCCGCGGUAAUACGUAGGGGGCCGAGUGUUGUCCGGAUUUAUUGGGCGUAAAGCGCAUGUAGGCGGCCUUGUAAG